UGCAUNUGCUUAACACAUGCAAGUCGUAUGAAGAUCAUACUUCAUGGCGCACGGGUGCGUAACGCGUAGGAAUCUACCUUAUAGAGGGGGAUAAGUUUUUCUUGUAGAAACAAAUACCGCAUAUAUAAAGAAGAUGUAUAAUCUUCGCUAUAAGAUGAGCCUGCGUAGGAUUAGGUAGUUGGUAAGGUAACGGCUUACCAAGCCUAUGAUCCUUAGCUGGUCUUAGAGGAUGAUCAGCCACACUGGGACUGAGACACGGCCCAGACUCCUACGGGAGGCAGCAGUGGGGAAUAUUGGACAAUGAGCGAAAGCUUGAUCCAGCAAUAUUGCGUGGGUGAUGAAGGCCCUAUUGGUUGUAAAGCCCUUUUGUCGAGGAGGAUAAUGACAGUACUCGAAGAAAAAGUCCCGGCUAACUCCGUGCCAGCAGCCGCGGUAAUACGGGGGGGACUAGUGUUAUUCGGAAUUACUGGGCGUAAAGGGUGUGUGGGCGGUUCUAAAAGUUGAAAGUGAAAUCCCAAAGCUUAACUUUGGAAGUGCUUUCAAAACUAUAGAACUUGAGUAUGAAAGAGGAUAGUGGAAUUUCUUGUGUAGAGAUAAAAUGCAUAGAUAUAAGAAGGAACACCUAAAGCGAAGGCAACUAUCUGGUUCAAAACUGACGCUGAGACACGAAAGCAUGGGGAGCAAACAGGAUUAGAUACCCUGGUAGUCCAUGCUCUAAACGAUGAGUGCUAAACGUUGGNACUUUUCAAGGUUCAGUGUUACAGCUAACGCAUUAAGCAC
rnacentral:rRNA from 1 species